rnacentral:tRNA from 1 species
GGAAGCGUGCCCGAAAGAUAAGGACCUCCUUGAUAGGGAGAACUAUAGGGGAUCAAA